CCCUUAGACGUUCUGGGCCGCACGCGCGCUACACUGACCAGUGCAACAAGCAUCCGUCCUUGGCCGACAGGCCCGGGCAAUCUUUGAACGCUGGUCGUGAUGGGGAUAGACUUUUGCAAUUUUUGGUCUUCAACGAGGAAUUCCUAGUAAACGCAAGUCAUCAACUUGCAUUGAUUACGUCCCUGCCCUUUGUACACACCGCCCGUCGCACCUACCGAUAGAAUGGUCCGGUGAAGCCUCCGGAUUGGCGCGCACCUCGGUGCCGCCGAGAAGUUGGCUAAACCUUACCAUUUAGAGGAAGGUGAAGUCGUAACA
rnacentral:rRNA from 1 species